GGCAUGCUUAACACAUGAAAGUCGAUUGGUUAGUGGUGUUUCCAUAGGCGCAUGAGUGAGUAACGCAUAAGAACUUGCCCUUAGGAUGGAACAACAAUUGGAAACGGUUGCUCCAUACCCCAUGGACCGAGGAGCAUAAGAAGAAAUCAGCCCAGGCAAGGAUCACAUUAAUUAGCUAGUUGGUGAAGCAAUAACUUACUUAGACAAUGAUUAGUAGCUGGUCCAAGAGGAUGAUCAACCACACUGGAAUUGACGGAACUAGAUCCUCUUAACAUAGAGGAGAAAUGUUAGAGAAGCUAAAAUAUCCUAACUUGCC
rfam:Triticum aestivum genome assembly, contig: Triticum_aestivum_CS42_TGACv1_scaffold_374366_5AL